AUGUGAAUCAGCUGGGGAUCUUGCUAAAAUGUAGAUUCUGAUUCCUUAUUUCUGGGAUGGGGCCCGAGAGUCUGCACUUCUAACAAGUUUCCAGGAGAUGUUGAU
rnacentral:pre_miRNA from 1 species